CGGGCCUCAAAUCCUAGCUGCCACUAGUUCCGUUCUGUGUCAGUCUUGUCUGUCCCUGUUUGUUGCCGUCUCAGUGUUUCAUGUGCGGGGGCGUGGCCUCCGCAUUCCAGCACAGUUCCCCGACCCAGCCUCGUUGAUCACCCGCACCUGACAGUCAUCUGCAAUCAGGAUCACCAGGAUAUCUACCCCAGUCUUCCAACCAUUCGUCGCCAGAUCUCAUCACCAUCACAACUAUACCACAACCCUGCUCUACUGCCGGUUUACCAUCUUCGUCGAAUCGUCGUGGGUGACUGUCGGUUCGCCUGCCAGCCGACCCAUCCAAACUUGUUCCACAUUAAUCAACAAGAUAUAAACUUAACCAAACUAAAGAAAAUAACACUGCACACACAUGUAGAAAAGGGAAUUACACCACUAGAGGGGGAUACAUUCAGCCACCAGCUGGGGAGAAGCCAUCAAGCGUCAGAGCCACCAACACUUAUUUUAGCAUACAAACAAAAUGACAAAACAACGAGCAGCACCAAAAGACCACUACAUGCACUAGCAUUCACCCGCACGCCCUCACACACAUACACAAACAUUCACACGCAGGCACCCCAAACCAAAGCCCCAAGCGAGUAGUCCAACUAGCUGUGGUUAGUAGCCACUUGACAGCUAGCAGAGAUUGGACGAUCAGGCCGGGGUGAUAAGGAGAGAAGCUCACGACAGCUGGGAGAUUGGGCCGCACAUAAGGUGACCAGACGUCCCCGAUUUCCGGGGACAGUCCCCGUUUUCGGUGAUCUGUCCCCGGUCAAAGCUGUCCCUGGAAAUGUCCCCGAUUUUGACGGUGAAUGGGGGAAAAAUGCGCGCAGACUCAAACACCAGUUAUUACGGUAGUAAUUUAACGCAGCACCAGAGAAGACGUCGUAUGACGUACAGACGUUAUCAGGACGUACGACCAGACGCAGCAGCAUCAACAACAACAAUCUAGAGGCGGCAAAAAGGAAAAAGAGAAGAUCAGCGGUCUCAUAAAUGUAGGGAAGGGGAGAUUUGGAGGUACCUGGUCAGGCCUUGGUCAGCCUAUAAAUCCCAGAUGUGGAGACUGCAGGGAUAGCUCACAGAGAAGACACUAAAGAGUCAUCUCUCAUUCAUCGAGUGGACUCAUUGGUUUGCGAAUGACCACAAAGAUGCUCCCAUAGGCAGAUUGCUGCAUGGCAUUCACCACUUAUUCAAAUUGUAGAGGUUGAAGCAGUCUUCCUUGUGGUCACUUGCCAUAACACUGUCAUGUGUUUUAUCAAAACACCAUCAGUAACAUUUAAAUUGAGUUGAUGUGGACGGCUCUUUUUUUUGUACGAUUUUUUCAGUGUUCAGUGCCUGUUUGUGAGAUAUUGUUUGAAAGAUAAGCCUUUGAUUUUAUUGAAUUUUAAUAUGCCUUUCAUCAACAGUGGUUUGGGGUUUUAUAACAACAAUUAAAGUGCUUAACUACUGGUGAACGA
ensembl:lncRNA